AAAAGAAAAGGAAUGAUUAUUUACAAAUUAUUCAACCAAAACCUAUUUAUUUUUGUACAAAAAAAUAGAAGUUUUUAUUUGUUUGGAUAUUUUACAUGUAUACGAAAAAGAAAAGAUCUUGCCCAAAACCCAGCAAAACUGGCCCACAGUAAAAUUGCUUUGGGUAAUGGUUUUUCCUGACACAGUUUGUUUAUUAUUGCACAAACCUAAAGAAUCUUUCCCUAAACACCACCAUCGCCACCACCCAGGGACCACUACCACCCUCUCAUCAAACCACCGGUCAUUUGAAUCCGGGCUUCUCUCCGGCACCCAUAUCUCCACAUCGUCAUCCAUGUCUUCACAAAAAAAAAAAAGUUUGUUGAUCAAUUGACCAAACCUAGCCAGAAUCUGGUUGUCGCAGGGUCACCCACCCUCGGCUGAUGAUAAAUGAUUCGCGUUGGAAGGGAGUAGAGAGAGAUGAUAACGGCCACCAAGAACACCGGAACCAAAAUAAUCUUUGGAAUCGACGGCGGUGCCACCGGUCCCAUUUCGAACGACAGAAAUCAUAAGCAGCGUGACUCCGGGGCAAGGCCCCAAUCGUACUCGUUGUUCUCCAGAUCCUUCUUCCCGAAUUUGUGUGUCUGAAAGUUUGCGUGUGAGUUUAUGUAUAUAUACCAUGGGUAUGGGUGUGUGCCUGUUUGGAGGAGAUGCAACGGUUGCGACAACGUUUUUUUGACGGUUGCUAUUUUAGUGUGGUCAGUUGGUGAUAUGUGAGCAGAACGGUUAUUGAAUGAAUCCGUGCUUUUUAUAUUGAUGAAGGGAUGCGAUGGGAGGCUGGGAGCGGUUGUGAAAUGGUGAUGAGACGGCAUUGGUUGUGGGUGUGCCGUAUGGCAGUUACAAUUUAUUAAUUGCAACGUUUAACCGGUGCCUCACUUUUUGUAUAUAUAGGAUCGAAAGAAGAAGGGGCUAGUUCCGGAUCACAAACAAAGGCACAAGAUCGAGGUAAAGCACCCGCAUGAUUGUCGUUGCGUCGCUCGGAUACGAACACACCUUGAUCACCCGUGAUGCGCUUCCGCAACUUUUGUAGUAACCUUAUUAGUCAAAGACUUUUGUUAAAGUUGGUUGUGUUUGGAAGUUUUAAAUUUUAACUAGAUGUUUGUGAAUACUUA